rnacentral:tRNA from 1 species
ACGUUUAUAACUUAAUUGGAAAAGUUUUGAAUUACGAAUUUAAAUAUGAAGGUUCGAGUCCUUCUAAACGUG